AGGUUAUUGACAAAGUGCUAGCGGCGGAGGAUCGUAAAGACGCCGUAAAUACAUCCUUGUGGCUCGAGCCGCGCCCUCCCUGGCGCGGACGCUUU
rnacentral:ncRNA from 1 species